GGUUCUACGGGAGGCAGCAGUGGGGAAUAUUGCACAAUGGGGGAAACCCUGAUGCAGCGACGCCGCGUGAGCGAAGAAGUAUUUCGGUAUGUAAAGCUCUAUCAGCAGGGAAGAAAAAUGACGGUACCUGACUAAGAAGCCCCAGCUAACUACGUGCCAGCAGCCGCGGUAAUACGUAGGGGGCAAGCGUUAUCCGGAUUUACUGGGUGUAAAGGGAGCGUAGGCGGCCAUGCAAGUCAGAAGUGAAAACCCGGGGCUCAACCCUGGGAGUGCUUUUGAAACUGUGCGGCUCGUGUGUCGGAGGG
rnacentral:rRNA from 1 species